rnacentral:rRNA from 1 species
GACGAACGCUGGCGGCGUGCUUAACACAUGCAAGUCGAACGGAAAGGCCCUGCUUUUGUGGGGUGCUCGAGUGGCGAACGGGUGAGUAACACGUGAGUAACCUGCCCUUGACUUUGGGAUAACUUCAGGAAACUGGGGCUAAUACCGGAUAGGAGCUCCUGCUGCAUGGGGGGGGUUGGAAAGUGUCGGCGGUUGGGGAUGGACUCGCGGCUUAUCAGCUUGUUGGUGGGGUAGUGGCUUACCAAGGCUUUGACGGGUAGCCGGCAUGAGAGGGUGACCGGCCACAUUGGGCCUGCGAUACGGCCCAGACUCCUACGGGAGGCAGCAGUCGGGAAUAUUGCACAAUGGGCGGAAGCCUGAUGCAGCAACGCCGCGUGCGGGAUGACGGCCUUCGGGUUGUAAACCGCUUUCGCCUGUGACGAAGCGUGAGUGACGGUAAUGGGUAAAGAAGCACCGGCUAACUACGUG